UACGGAGGGUGCAAGCGUUAUCCGGAUUCACUGGGUUUAAAGGGUGCGUAGGCGGUUUGGUAAGUCCGUGGUGAAAUCCCCGAGCUUAACUUGGGAACUGCCGUGGAUACUAUCAGUCUUGAAUAUCGUGGAGGUAAGCGGAAUAUGUCAUGUAGCGGUGAAAUGCUUAGAUAUGACAUAGAACACCAAUUGCGUAGGCAGCUUACUACUCGAUCAUUGACGCUGAGGCACGAAAGCGUGGGGAGCAAACAGG
rnacentral:rRNA from 1 species